rnacentral:rRNA from 1 species
GCGUGUGUGCCGUGUCGUGUUUGUCAUCCUUCCAGAGAGCUGCGUCUACCAUUCACUUGGCCGGACGUACGCGAUCUGGAUCGAUUACUUUGAAAAAAUUAGAGUGUUUAAAGCACGCUUACGCUGUGAAUACUUUAUCAUGGAAUAAUAAUUUACGACUUCGGUUCUAUUUUGUUGGUUUCUAGGACUGAAGUAAUGAUUGAUAGGGACAGUUGGGGGUGCUAGUAUUCCGCGGCCAGAGGUGAAAUUCUUGGAUUCACGGAAGACUAACUACUGCGAAAGCAUUCACCAGAGAUGUCUUCAUUAAACACGAACGAAAGUUGGAGGAUCGAAUACGAUCACAUACCGUCGUAGUCUCAACCAUAAACUAUACCGACAAAAGAUCAGUGAACGUUGAUUUACGACUUCACCGGCACUUUGUGAGAAAUCAAACUCUUUGGGUUCCGGGGGGAGUAUGGUCGCAAGGGUGAAACUUAAAGGAAAUGACGGAAGGGCACCACCAGGAGUGGAGCCUGCGGCUUAAUUUGACUCAACACGGGAAAACUUACCAGGUCCAGACAUAGUGAGGAUUGACAGAUUGAAGAUCUUUCUUGAUUUUAUGGGUGGUGGUGCAUGGCCGCUCUUCGUUGGUGGAGUGAUUUGUCUGUUUAAUUCCGUUAACGAAAGAGACCUCGACAUGCUAAAUAGUACCAGUUAUUCAGUUGAUAAUCUGGGCACUUCUUAGAGGGACCAUCGG